rnacentral:tRNA from 1 species
GGGGCAGUCGCUCAAUGGUAGAGCUCCCGCUUCAUACAGGGGGAGACCUGGGGUCGAUUCCCGGCUGCUUUC